rnacentral:rRNA from 1 species
GANCGCUCAGGACGAACGCUGGCGGCAUGCCUAAUACAUGCAAGUCGAGCGGACUUGAAGAGAAGCUUGCUUCUCUGACGGUUAGCGGCGGACGGGUGAGUAACACGUAGGCAACCUGCCCUCAAGCUUGGGACAACUACCGGAAACGGUAGCUAAUACCGAAUACUUGUUUUCUUCGCCUGAAGGAAACUGGAAAGACGGAGCAAUCUGUCACUUGGGGAUGGGCCUGCGGCGCAUUAGCUAGUUGGUGAGGUAACGGCUCACCAAGGCGACGAUGCGUAGCCGACCUGAGAGGGUGAUCGGCCACACUGGGACUGAGACACGGCCCAGACUCCUACGGGAGGCAGCAGUAGGGAAUCUUCCGCAAUGGGCGAAAGCCUGACGGAGCAAUGCCGCGUGAGUGAUGAAGGUUUUCGGAUCGUAAAGCUCUGUUGCCAGGGAAGAACGCUUGGGAGAGUAACUGCUCUCAAGGUGACGGUACCUGAGAAGAAAGCCCCGGCUAACUACGUGCCAGCAGCCGCGGUAAUACGUAGGGGGCAAGCGUUGUCCGGAAUUAUUGGGCGUAAAGCGCGCGCAGGCGGUCAUGUAAGUCUGGUGUUUAAUCCCGGGGCUCAACCCCGGAUCGCACUGGAAACUGYGUGACUUGAGUGCAGAAGAGGAGAGUGGAAUUCCACGUGUAGCGGUGAAAUGAGUAGAGAUGUGGAGGAACACCCAGUGGCGAAGGCGACUCUCUGGGCUGUAACURACGCUAGG